rnacentral:rRNA from 1 species
GACGAACGCUGGCGGCGUGCUUAACACAUGCCAGUCGAACGGAAAGGCUCCAGCUUGCUGGAGUACUCGAGUGGCGAACGGGUGAGUAACACGUGGGUAAUCUGCCCUGCACUCUGGGAUAAGCCUGGGAAACUGGGUCUAAUACUGGAUAUGACCUUUCUCCUUAUGGGGUUUGGUGGAAAGUUUUUCGGUGUAGGAUGAGCCCGCGGCCUAUCAGCUUGUUGGUGGGGUGAUGGCCUACCAAGGCGACGACGGGUAGCCGGCCUGAGAGGGUGAUCGGCCACAUUGGGACUGAGAUACGGCCCAGACUCCUACGGGAGGCAGCAGUGGGGAAUAUUGCACAAUGGGCGGAAGCCUGAUGCAGCGACGCCGCGUGAGGGAUGACGGCCUUCGGGUUGUAAACCUCUUUCAGCAGGGACGAAGCGUAUGUGACGGUACCUGCAGAAGAAGCACCGGCUAACUAUGUG